rnacentral:rRNA from 1 species
AUGCAGAAGAAUAAAACAAUUGAUAAAGUUGCUCAGCGAGAACUUGAAAAGGAAAAGGAGCAUUGGAGAAAAGUUUUUCUCGGGAUUUUGUUGAUUGUAAAAUUUCUUGCAGAACAUAAUAUAGCAUUUUGUGGCACCAAUAGCAAGUUGUACCAAGAGAACAAUGGGAAUUUCCUAGGACUGAUUGAAAUGUUGGCUGAAUUUGACCCAGUUAUCAAAGAGCAUGUUGAGCGCAUCACCAAUGAAAAAAUUCGUGAUCACUACCUUUGCCCUUCUAUACAGAAUGAGUUAAUAAAUAUGCUCGCUACUACCAUCAGGUCAAGAAUCAUUGAAAAGGUAAAGGAAGCAAACUAUUUCUCAGUUACUCUUGAUUGUACUCCUGAUGCAAGCCACCAAGAACAAAUGUCAUUGAUAAUUAGGUAUGUAGAUACAUCUUCUGCUUCUGUUUGCAGCAAAGAAUCUUUCUUAGGCUUUUUGGAGGUGAAUGAUACCACCGGGCAAGGUUUGUGUAAUGUUCUAGAAGAGGGGUUGAAUAAUCUUAGCCUUGAUGUGGACAAUGUGAGAGGAUAGGGUUAUGAUAAUGGGUCAAAUAUGAAAGGAAACAAUAAAGGGGUACAAAAGAAAUUUCUGGAUAAGAAUCCAAGGGCAUUUUAUUCAGCUUUUGGUUGUCAUAGUCUAAAUCUGGCACUAUGCGAUAUGGAGAAGUCUUGCCGUAAAGCAACAGACUUCUUUGGAAUUAUACAACGCAUCUAUACGAUAUUUGCUAAUUCAACCAAAAGAUGGCAAAUUCUCAAAGAUAACUUAAAGAAGUUGACUGUCAAGUCAUUGUCAUCUACUCGUUGGGAGAGUCAUGUUGAGAGUGUUAAGGCUAUACGGAUUCAAAUGCCAGAAAUAAGGGAGGCUUUACUACAAGUGGCUGAAACUGAUAAGGAUCCAUUGACAAGUAGUGAAGCACAACCAUUGGCAGAAAAUGAACUUGGUGGUUUUGAAUUUUUAGUGUCAAUAAUUAUCUGGUAUGAUAUAUUAUCCGCUGUUAAUUUGGUCAGCAAGCAGCUACAAUCAAAGGACAUGCUUAUUGAUAUUGCAAUUGAGUCUCUACAGGGUCUGCUUUCCUUUUUCAAGAAGUAUAGAGAAACUGGCUUUUCAAAAGCAUUGGAAGAUGCAAAAUAAAUUACAGUUGAGAUGGAUAUUCAUCCAGAGUUCCGCACCAAGCGGAAAAUCAAAAGAAGAAGAGAAUUUGAUGAGGGCGCAGAUGAUGCAUUUAUUGAUUCACAAUCUGCAGAGGAGUCAUUUAGGGUCAAAUAUUUUCUACAAGUGGUCGAUCAAGCUAUAGUUUCACUUACCCGGAGGUUUGAGCAAUACCAGGGGUAUGAAAAAACUUUUGGUUUCUUAUUUACUUCAGAUAGGCUGCGAUCUUUGGAUGAUAAGAGUUUGCUGGCUGCUUGUGUUAAUCUUGAGGAUGCACUUAAGAGUGGAGAACACAAAGACAUUGAUGGAGCUGAAUUGUUUUACGAGUUAAUUUUCAUCCAGUAUUUAGUUAAGAAAUCUAUGGGCCCCGUUGAUAUUCUUGAGAUUCUGAUGAAGCGCCCCUUCUAUCCUAAUGCUAUUAUUUCCUACAAGAUUUUGUUAACCAUUCCUGUAACUGUUGCAACUACGAAAAGGAGCUUCUCUAAACUCAAGUUAUUGAAAUCAUAUUUGCAUUCAACUAUGACAUAA